GCCUGUGCAAUAGGGUUAGCGUUAAGGCUAGGUAGAGGGGUUCAGGCAGAGGUCGAGGUGAGACGGGUCUGCCUGUGCAAUAGGGUUAGCGUUAAGGCUAGGUAGAGGGGUUCCGGAAGAGGUCAGAGGUCGAGGUGAGACGGGUCUGCCUGUGCAAUAGGGUUAGCGUUAAGGCUAGGAAGAGGUCAGAGGUCGAGGUGAGACGGGUCUGCCUGUGCAAUAGGGUUAGCGUUAAGGCUAGGUAGAGGGGUUCAGGAAGAGGUCAGAGGUCGAGGUGAG